CCUCCGCGAAGUAGUUACUUUAUAGGCGCCCCGCGUGGUGAGUGCCCCCGUAAGGAAAAUUCUCAAAGAAGUUGACGGGGGCCCGCACAAGCGGCGGAGCAUGUUUUUUAAUUCGACGCAACGAGAGAACUUUACCAAGGUUUGACAUACACCGGAAACACUCAGAGAUGGGUGCCUCCUUUGGACUGGUGUACAGGUGGUGCAUGGCUGUCGUCAGCUCGUGUCGUGAGAUGUUGGGUUAAGUCCCGCAACGAGCGCAACCCUUGUUCCAUGUUGCCAGCACGCCCUUUCGGGGGUGGUGGGGACUCAUGGGAGACUGCCGGGGUCAACUCGGAGGAAGGUGGGGAUGACGUCAAGUCAUCAUGCCCCUUAUGUCUUGGGCUGCAAACAUGCUACAAUGGUCGGUACAGAGGGUUGCGAUACCGUGAGGUGGAGCGAAUCCCUAAAAGCCGAUCUCAGUUCGGAUUGGGGUCUGCAACUCGACCCCAUGAAGUCGGAGUCGCUAGUAAUCGCAGAUCAGCAACGCUGCGGUGAAUACGUUCCCGGGCCUUGUACACACCGCCCGUCACGUCACGAAAGUCGGCAACACCCGAAGCCCGUGGCCCAACCAGCUUGCUGGGGGAGCGGUCGA
rnacentral:rRNA from 1 species